rnacentral:rRNA from 1 species
GACGAACGCUGGCGGCGUGCUUAACACAUGCAAGCCGAACGGAAAGGCCCUGCUUUUGUGGGGUGCUCGAGUGGCGAACGGGUGAGUAACACGUGAGUAACCUGCCCUUGACUUUGGGAUAACUUCAGGAAACUGAGGCUAAUACCGGAUAGGAGCUCCUGCUGCAUGGUGGGGGUUGGAAAGUUUCGGCGGUUGGGGAUGGACUCGCGGCUUAUCAGCUUGUUGGUGGGGUAGUGGCUUACCAAGGCUUUGACGGGUAGCCGGCCUGAGAGGGUGACCGGCCACAUUGGGACUGAGAUACGGCCCAGACUCCUACGGGAGGCAGCAGUGGGGAAUAUUGCACAAUGGGCGGAAGCCUGAUGCAGCAACGCCGCGUGCGGGAUGACGGCCUUCGGGUUGUAAACCGCUUUCGCCUGUGACGAAGCGUGAGUGACGGUAAUGGGUAAAGAAGCACCGGCUAACUACGUG